UUUUAUGGAGAGUUUGAUCCUGGCUCAGGAUGAACGCUGGCGGCGUGCCUAAUACAUGCAAGUCGAGCGAACGGACGAGAAGCUUGCUUCUCUGAUGUUAGCGGCGGACGGGUGAGUAACACGUGGAUAACCUACCUAUAAGACUGGGAUAACUUCGGGAAACCGGAGCUAAUACCGGAUAAUAUUUUGAACCGCAUGGUUCAAAAGUGAAAGACGGUCUUGCUGUCACUUAUAGAUGGAUCCGCGCUGCAUUAGCUAGUUGGUAAGGUAACGGCUUACCAAGGCAACGAUGCAUAGCCGACCUGAGAGGGUGAUCGGCCACACUGGAACUGAGACACGGUCCAGACUC
rnacentral:rRNA from 1 species